AUCUGGCUCCUCUGGAGUCCGAAUUGUAAUUUGUAGAAGAUGCUUUGGGUUGUGGGUUCGGCCUAAGUUCCUUGGAACAGGACGUCAUAGAGGGUGAGAAUCCCGUAUGUGGCCGAGGCCCGCGCCUAUGUAAAGCUCUUUCAACGAGUCGAGUUGUUUGGGAAUGCAGCUCAAAAUGGGUGGUAAAUUUCAUCUAAAGCUAAAUAUGGGCCAGAGACCGAUAGCGCACAAGUAGAGUGAUCGAAAGAUGAAAAGCACUUUGGAAAGAGAGUUAAACAGUACGUGAAAUUGUUGAAAGGGAAGCGCUUGCACCCAGACUUGGGCGCUGCUGAUCACCUUGAGGUCUCCUCGAGUGCACUCGACAGCGCACAGGCCAGCAUCGGUUCGGGUGGCUGGAUAAAGGCCGUAGGAACGUAGCUCUCUUCGGGGAGUGUUAUAGCCUACGGUGCCAUGCAGCCCAGCCGGACCGAGGACCGCGCCUUCGGGCUAGGAUGCUGGCGUAAUGGGUGUAAGCGACCCGUCUUGAAACACGGACCAAGGAGUCUAACAUCUAUGCGAGUGUUUGGGUGGUAAACCCAUACGCGGAAUGAAAGUGAACGUAGGUGAGAACCCCCUUUGGGGGCGCAUCAUCGACCGAUCCUGAUGUCUUCGGAUGGAUUUGAGUAAGAGCAUAGCUG
rnacentral:rRNA from 1 species